AAGGCGUACCGAUAGGUGGUUUUACAAGUCAGAAGUGAAAUCUCUCAGCUUAACUGGGAGACUGUCUUUUGAAACUGUAAAACUAGAGGGGCAAAGAGGAAGCUGGAACAAGCGGUGUAGUAGUGAAAUGCGUUGAUAUCGCUUGGAACACCAAUAGCGUAGGCAGGCUUCUGGGUGCCACCUGACACUGCUAGGACGAAAGCGUGGGGAGCGAAUGGGAUUAGAUACCCCAGUAGUCCACGCUGUAAACGAUGAUGAUUAGGUGCUAGGGAGUAUCGACCCUCCUUAGUACCAUAGCUAACGCGUUAAAUCAUCCGCCUGGGGAGUACGGCCGCAAGGCUAAAACUCAAAGGAAUUGACGGGGACCUGCACAAGCGGUGGAGCAUGUGGUUUAAUUCGACGGUAAGCGAGGAACCUUACCAAGGCUUGACAUGUAGCUGCAUCCCUCAGAAAUGAGGGCGCCUUCGAGGGUGCUACACAGGUGCUGCACGGUUGUCGUCAGCUCGUGCCGUGAGGUGUUCACUUAAGUGUGAAAACGAGCGCAACCCCUACGGUGAGUUACAAGUGUCUCACAGAACUGCCCGCGUUUAAGCGGGAGGAAGGUGGGGAUGACGUCAAAUCAGCGUGGCUCUUACGCCUUGGGCGACACACGUGCUACAAUGGGAAGUGCAAAGGGACGCCAAACCGCAAGGUGGAGCAAAUCCUAUCAAUACUUCCCCCAGUUCGGAUCGAGGGCUGCAACUCGCCCUCGUGAAGCCGGAAUCGCUAGUAACCGUAUAUCAGCCUCGAUACGGUGAAUACGUUCUCAGGUUUUGUACACACCGCCCGUCAAGCCAUGGAAGCAGGAAGCGGCUAAAGUUCACCCAGUAGGGUGGCCUAAGCCGAAGCUUGUAACUGGGGCUAAGUCGUAACAAGGUAA
rnacentral:rRNA from 1 species